rnacentral:rRNA from 1 species
UACGAGGGGGGCGAGCGUUGUUCGGAAUUAUUGGGCGUAAAGGGUGCGUAGGCGGUUUGGUAAGUCUUAUGUGAAAUCUAUGGGCUCAACUCAUAGACUGCAUGAGAAACUGCCGGGCUUGAGUAUGGGAGAGGUGAGUGGAAUUCCUGGUGUAGCGGUGAAAUGCGUAGAUAUCAGGAGGAACACCGGUGGCGAAGGCGGCCUUCUGGACGGCUACUGACACUGAGACGCGAAAGCGUGGGGAGCAAACAGG